UCACAUCCACUCGCCUGAACCCUACCCUACCCGCCCCUGCCCCUGCCCACACUUUCCGCCGCCGCCGUCCUCGGGGUCUCCGUCCGGACCCGUCCCCGCAGCCACUGGCGCCCAUAGCCCCGAGCUCCCGACCCCCUCCAUCGCCUGCCUUUCCCGGCCACUUCGCUGCCACCACAUGGGAAUCUUCGCUAGCCCGAGUCUCGACCGACGGCGGUGAGCAUAUCCCAGAUCCCCUAACCCCAUCCACUCAUGCCUUCCCCAGUGUUGUGGCCAAGGACAGCUCUGUCCACCGGGACCUUCACAAACCACCACUAGCCCUCACGAAGGACCAAGUCAGCGCCCUCCUCUUCCUCAGGAUAAAAUCUCGUCUCCAACAGCUCGGCGACACCGCCACCAAUGGCGCAAUGUCUCAUGAAAGGUUUCUGCAAACUUCGUACUCUGUUAUGGAUCUGGUGUGACUCUAAUGCUGCAGCACUAUUUCAGCUUGUGCUAGAGGCAUGCCGCUGGCACCGGUGGCCCCUCACUGAUCUUAUACAAGCCAUUUAAGGAUAUGUCGUGGUAAGUGAGCAAAUCGAAUGGAUGGAUCCAUCAUUUUGCCAUCCUAAUGCUUCUCAAGGGUUUCCUUUUUGUUGACCAGUUCAACCAAUCCAUCAUCUUGCAGUGCUGGUGCUUUCUGAUUUCCACUUUUUUUCUCAUGAGAAGUUUUAGUGGGAAUACUAAUACGUUUUGGUCAUCAAAUUAUCUUAACUACGCCUGGGAAAUGAAGGUUUAGUUUAUCACAAACAAUAUAAAUAUGUAUUAGCUUACUAUCUUGGCACAUGAGCUAUUUUCAGUCAAUGCACGGAUAGUCCACUUGGAACUUAAGAGGCACUCGUUCUUCUUCUUACUAUCCAUGAGCCCCUUAUACUACUGCUAUGGUUUAUGUGCCUAAUUUUAACUCCCUGGACUCAAUUUGGGCGGCUUUGUUUUAGCUGAUCUGAUACUGUGGGUGGGAUCUACAGAACAACCUUGACAUGUGUCUGCAAUCAGUCCACAUUCUGCAAACUCGCACAACUUUAUGUGCCAACUUUUAACUCCCUGGACUGAAUUUGGGCGGCUUUGUUUUAGCUGAUCUGAUACUGUGGGUGGGAUCUAUAGAACAACCUUGACAUGUGUCUGCAAUCAGUCCACAUUCUGCACAACUCCCACAACUUGAACACCAAUCUCUUUGUCCUUCAAGUAAGUCUACGGACCCCAAAUUGCUUAUUUCAAAGUGUAGAGGGUAGUUUGCAACUGAAUGACUUAAUUUGUCUUGUGAUUGCGUUAUGUGUAAUUUUAAAUCCACUACUACCAACACUCGCGGCUGUAAUUGUGGCUCACUGGUUUUAUUAGGAAAUGCUCUGCUAAUGUUUUUUGGGGAACUCAUGACCGGUUUUUAACCAUUAAAUUGCCCCAGUCAUGUACUUUUUAUUCUUAAAUUCAGUGUUGUACCUUGAUACGCCUAUGCUGGGAACCACGACCACCAGCAUGCAGCGCGGGAAAUGGGCGGAGAACAGAUGGCCACCUUGCUGGGAACCAUGGCCGCCCACAUGCAGCAGAUAAAUGAAUGGUGGAUGGAAGGCUACCUCACUGGGAACCAGGGCCACGACUUGCAGUGGGUAAUCGGUGGCGAACGGAGGGCAACGUCGCCAGGUACCUCAACUACCAGGUACUUAGCCAAAUGGUGUGCAUGGACGUGAUGACUUUGCAACAUUUAUGGACCAACCAACUUGUAAUCAUUUGGUGUUUCAGUUAUUUUGGAGCUUGCAUUUUGUGCAUGUGGAUAUUGACUUGUGUGUUCUGGACCAUGUAGUUAAAGUCUCUCAUACGAACAAAUAGUGCUCAUGUUUUUGUGAAUUGUGUGUUUUGGGUGAUUGUUAAGAUGGUCAAAACUAUGCUUUGUCAAGAAUGAUGUGUUUGUCAACUUGCGUUCAAUGUAUAUGCUUGUUUGUGAACA